AUGAACGCUGGCGGCGUGCCUAAUACAUGCAAGUCGAGCGAACAGAUGAGGAGCUUGCUCCUCUGACGUUAGCGGCGGACGGGUGAGUAACACGUGGAUAACCUACCUAUAAGACUGGGAUAACUUCGGGAAACCGGAGCUAAUACCGGAUUAUAUAUUGAACCGCAUGGUUCAAUAGUGAAAGACGGUUUUGCUGUCACUUAUAGAUGGAUCCGCGCCGCAUUAGCUAGUUGGUAAGGUAACGGCUUACCAAGGCAACGAUGCGUAGCCGACCUGAGAGGGUGAUCGGCCACACUGGAACUGAGACACGGUCCAGACUCCUACGGGAGGCAGCAGUAGGGAAUCUUCCGCAAUGGGCGAAAGCCUGACGGAGCAACGCCGCGUGAGUGAUGAAGGUCUUCGGAUCGUAAAACUCUGUUAUUAGGGAAGAACAAAUGUGUAAGUAACUAUGCACGUCUUGACGGUACCUAAUCAGAAAGCCACGGCUAACUACGUG
rnacentral:rRNA from 1 species